UUUUCAGCCCAUUUAAAUGUUGAGCUCGAGGUGAUUCAGUUCUCCAACCGCUAGAAAGUGUCCGAGGUCAGGGGGUGUCUGAUGUUUGGGGAAAAUUAGCUAGCUAGCUAGAUUGAUUUGUUUUUGGAUUGUUCAGCAUCUGAUGACCUAACGUGGUGGUGAAGGUGUGGGAUUCUUGACACAGGGAGCCAGGUAAAUGAGUUUGGUGGUGCCCAGGGACAGUCUGCCAUUAUCUGUAUGACCUUUGACCCCAAAGGAAGGAGACUGGUCACUGUGGGGAGAGAUGGCUUUCUUAAGAUCUGGAACUUUAACAAUGGUCAGUGUCUGAAGAUACUUAAAAGGGAUGGGGAGUGCAACGAGGUGUGUGAUUGCAGCUACCUGACAGUCCACAGAAACACGUGUGUGAUGUCUGUUGGAUGGGACCGCAGGAUUGACAUCUGCUCUGAUUCACCAGAAGAGCCUCACUACGUCCAGAAGCCUCAGACCUCAUGGCAAGACGAUCUGGGAUGGAUACCAGUGCUCCCAGCAUCAUCUUCUUGAGGAGCCAAGCAUUACAUGCUGAGUUCUCCUCCGCUUCAUGCCUCCUGUCCUCAGGACCCUCAGGUUACAUUCAUUUCUCGAACGUGCUCAACGGCGGGAAAUUCAUGGCCAACUUCAAGGCAUCUAGGUUCCAGCAGCAGAUCCCUAAACUGGCAGUGACAAAGGAAGACACCGCACUGUAUGUGGCUGACCAACUUGGCUAUGCUCUUGGCUCAGAGAACCCCCCCC